GACAUAGGGUGCAAGCGUUGUUCGGAAUUACUGGGCGUAAAGCGCGUGUAGGCGGCUAAGUAAGUCGGGCGUGAAAUCCCACGGCUCAACCGUGGAAGUGCACUCGAAACUGCAUAGCUAGAGUCCUGGAGAGGAAGGUGGAAUGCUUGGUGUAGAGGUGAAAUUCGUAGAUAUCAAGCGGAACACCGGUGGCGAAGGCGGCCUUCUGGACAGUGACUGACGCUGAGACGCGAAAGCGUGGGGAGCAAACAGG
rnacentral:rRNA from 1 species